CUCCAACCCACUGAAACCAAAGUGGGCUCCAUCUCAUUCCGGCCUAGGCAGAACAGGGUCCGCAGCACCCUCCCCUUAUAACCACGACUUCCUUCUCUUCCAGGGCACAUUCAGAAGAGACAGGCAUCUCCCUUGUGCAGGGCGGCUCGGUGGCCUGCCUGUCACCACCUGUCUGGACUCCCUCCCCUUGAGUGAUGCCUUCUCCCCAGCAGCUGACACCUGAGCUGGAGAGGGUGAGGAGCUGCCAUUCUCCAGAAAUAGACAGUGACACAGCGGAUGUUAGACUGAGAUUAAUCUCUUGCACCGGACCGGCCCCUUGCCAACAAACAGGCCUGCAGCCAGAGGAUCUCUCAGGGCCUUUCCCCUCGUCUGGCCUCCUGGGAACUGCGUAACUCAGAUUAACAACAGGCUCUGGAGAGCUGAACGUUGUAUUACGUGCUUAGUGGAAACUUGGAUGUGUCCUUCUGUGAACUGCCUGCCCAGGAGCUGUGACAUGAGCUUUGCAAGUCUUCCCAAGGACCUGUUUGACUGGCGCCUCUGUAGACCCAGCAGAUCUCAAGCCAACAUAACAUAGCGUUCACAAUUGUAUCACAAAGAUGUAACGCAUCUCUGCUCUGCCACUCCCCUCUCUCCUCUGACCCAGGCCUAACCUCUGACCACAUGAGGCCUGUGUCUCUUGGGAGUUCCCUGGGAGCCACGCUGUCCCUGGGAUGGGGAUUCUCCCUCUGUGUCUGUGCUGUGUGUGAGUUACUCCAGGGCUAUCUUCCUGUGAAUGCCAGCAUCUCAGCCUCAGCUCACGAAGUGCUCUCUACGCUUCAAAUAGCUGCAAAACUAUUUACCAAUAAAAGUAAUUCCGAUUUUCCUGGCAAGUCGGAAAUCAAGUUGCUUUUUUUUUUUGUUUUGUUUCUGUAUAUGUAAUUUUUCUAGCAGCAAGGGCCAUGGUAGACCUAGGUUCCCAGCAGCAGAUAUCUGCACCUGGUGGUCUUAGCGGGGUUCAAUACUGCAGCAACUGCUGUCACCAGGGCCAGAGUUGUGGUAGGGGAAGUGACCUCGUGGUGGGGCCUUUGGGGUGGACAAGGGGAGGUUUCAUGAGAAAUGAGCUACACAGGUGGAGGAGACUUCGCCAUUAUCUGACCUUCUACUGUCACAGGUGGGGACACAGCAGUGAGCUUACUUCCCUGGAGGAGAUACAGA